GGACAAUUAGCUCAGCUGGUCAGAGCGCUACGUUCACACCGUAGAGGCCGGUGGUUCAAAUCCGCCAUUGUCCA
rnacentral:tRNA from 1 species